CCCCUUACAUCCCUAGAGUACACCCCUGGAGUACGCCCCUUACACCCCUGGAGUACACCCCUGGAGUACACCCCUUACACCCCUGGAGUGCACCCCUGGAGUACACCCCUUACACCCCUGGAGUGCACCCCUUACACCUCAUUGGUGAUCGUAACAUCAUUUAAAAAAAAAAAAACAUACAAAGUGUUACAUCUGGGUUGCAUGCUGUUUGCUUUUCUUUUUUUCUUCAUGUCAUCAAAAAACAUUUUUUUCUGUUAACAUUGGGAGGGGAGGGGGGGGGGGGUGUUGUCAUGACAAGGUUGUAAAGAAAGUUUUCAAUGAAUGACUGAAAAUAGUCAAAAAAAGGACAUUUCAUACUUUUUUCUUUUUUUUUUUUACUAGAACUUGAUAUUUUACAUGUGCAUAUUUCUCACACAUUAGCUUUUUCAAGCAGCACUUAAAAAGAUAAAUAUAAUGAUAAUGAUGACAAUUAUUAUGAUUAUGUCAAUGAGUGUUCUACAGAAAUGAUUUCAGAACAUUGGGUAAGCUGAAAUAAAUACUAAGAUCAAGUUCGCUUACAAAAUCCCAUACUGGCAGAUGUUUUUCAAAGUGAUAUGACAACGCCCUGUACAGUCCAUGGUGUAGAAACUCUGUCAUUUUUUCUUUUCAAUUCUUUUUUUUUUCCAUGUGCGAUAACACCUCUCGGUUCAUACAGGGGAAAAUGGCACGUCUUCCAUUUGUUGGUAGCCUUUUGCUACAAGUAUGUGAGUAAGGGCAACAAACAGCAACCUGAACACAGAGGCGACCACACAAACCUCCCACAACAUCUUCUCUCCUAAUUUUUUUGUUGUUGUUGUUGUUGUGUUUUUUUUACUGUUGUUGUUCCCGCUUGUUUAAUUGUGUUUCGUAACCUUUCACUUGAAAAAGAUGGCUACGUUUGGAAGACCUUGUAACGAGUAAACAACGGUAACAGAGAGGACAGAUAGACUUCACUGUGUGACAUGCAACACUCGGCAUGCCAGAGUAUCCUUUGCUUCACCUCUGCUGUCUGGCCUCGGAUAAUACAAUGUC
ensembl:lncRNA